AUACCAUAAAUAUUGGAAGAUAGUAUGCCACAAUAUCAGUUAUGAGCGAUUGUGAUCACAGGGAAGAGAUCAAGAGCAUCAGCAACAUCUUGCAGUGUUCCUCCUCAUUGUCGUUGUCUCCACCGAAUGAUGUGAUGAGGGAUAUGAGGCAUUCUAUGACAAAGGAUUCAAUAACAAUCAAGAACAAGGGUCUGGCCGUGCGGAAACAUCAGGAGGAUGACAACAACGGUCAUCGGGAGUCUGGAAAGAUAAUAAAGGGCAGUAUGGUUUCCAGAAGAAUUGUACCCCAUCGGACUCGGAGCAAGCACCGAGCUGCUACAUGGUAGCAAUGAGACACA